AUGACUAGGCGCGUUUGUGAGAGCAGCGAGCAGUUCCGUUUAAUCCGUUGGAGUGUACAGUUGUACAUUGCUCUUUUUCUCUCUUGAGUCUCAGAUCAACACGGCCCUGCCCUCCAGCACUAUCAGCAGCAGCAUUGUACCCAUCAGGUACCUACCUUCCUGCCAGACGGAGAAAAGAUCUGUAAAACGGGUUCCUCAUCUCAGAGCAAGUGUGUUUGAUAACCUGUCAUACCCGACUGCUGGAACGAUGGCGAGCAGAAGUGAAGUGCCAAGAGACACUGAGGUGCUGAUUUUCUCCUAUAAUCAAAUUUGUAUUUGCCUUGGUUAGUAUAAACCAUCACAGAUGCAAGUAAAAGUGGCAACAGGUGCACUGUUGUGUGAUCAUGUAUAAGUUGUAUAGUUUUAAUGUUUUAUUUGGAAAUAGAA